rnacentral:lncRNA from 1 species
UGGGUUUGACUUCAUGAAAAUGGGGCUAAAGGGCCCCUAUGCCUUCUAAACUUUUUGUAAAGUAUUUUUGAAUGCAAAUUUAUGCUAAACAUGAUUUAUAUGAAUUUUAGAACACUUAACAUGCAUGCCUCAUGUAUCAUAAAAUUUGUACCCCAUAUAGUAGAGCUAUAUGUGUAGAUUGCAUGCAUUGUGGAUAGUGCUUUGUUUUGCGAGUUGAGAACAUGUCUCCAUGCUAGAAUUGAGUGAACUAUGCAUCGUGAACAUAUUAAUGCCAUGCUUGGGACUUGUAGCACAAAAGUGUCAUAAAGAGGCACUUGGAAUUAGUAAACUAUAAAAUGCAACUUAGAGACAUGAUGAUAGGCCAUUGUACAUCUGCUAUAUAUUCCAUGUUAGAGACAUGAUGACAUAGGGAUAGGCCUUCAGGAUAUUCGAUUCAUUCCAUGUUAUUAGACAUGAGGACUUUGUACUUGCGACAGAUCGUUUGACUACUUGCCAUUGUGCUCAUUCGCACAUGCUUGUGAGGGUCGCUCCCUACAAGCCGGCACUCCGGAGAUGGCCAUCGCGAUUCAUAAUCGCCGUGCGGGAUUGGGCGCCGAAGUGGAUUGCCGUGGGACAGGCUCAUUCCUAGGGUGGGGAUGAUGACUACCACGGGGCCAUUAGGCUCGGCACCGGCCAGACAGCCUACGGGUGGGUCUCAGGGCCAUAGACAGCCUUCGGGUGGGUCUCCUCAGAUUUGACUUUAUGUAUCCAUUAUGACAUGUGGACAGAUGGGGACUUAGUAUACUACUUGGACAUUGAUUAGAAUAGUAAACAACGGAACUUUACUAUUUCACAUUGUGAACAUCAUGAUAGUUGGAGACAUUUACUU